GUGUUGGUGCGAGGCUGCUGUUCGUCUAAGUCGUUCAAGCUGUACUCCCCCAAGGAGCCCGGCCCUAACGGCAGUGCCUUCCCCCCCUUCCACCCCGGCACCAUGCUGGACAGGGACGUAGGGCCAACACCAAUGUACCCCCCGUCAUACCUAGAGCCUGAGGGUUAUNNNNNNNNNNCAACACCAUACGGCAACCAGACAGACUACAGGAUAUUUGAGCUCAACAAACGGCUACAAAACUGGACAGAGGACUGUGACAAUCUCUGGUGGGAUGCCUUCACCACAGAGUUCUUUGAGGAUGAUGCCAUGCUCACCAUCACCUUUUGUCUGGAGGACGGGCCUAAACGAUACACUAUCGGCCGGACAUUGAUCCCGCGGUACUUCCGGAGUAUCUUUGAAGGCGGCGCCACUGAGCUGUUCUACACAUUGAAGCACCCUAAAGAGUCCUUCCACACAAACUUUGUGUCUCUGGACUGUGACCAGUGCACCAUGGUUACACAGAACGGCAAGCCCAUGUUCACACAGGUGUGUGUGGAGGGCCGUCUGUACCUGGAGUUCAUGUUUGACGACAUGAUGAGGAUCAAGACGUGGCAUUUUAGCAUCAGACAACACAGAGAAGUCCUGCCUCGCAGCAUACUGGCCAUGCACGACCCUCAGAUGCUGGAUCAGCUGGCUAAAAACAUCACAAGAUGUGGCCUGUCCAACUCCACACUCAACUACCUCAGGCUGUGUGUGAUCUUGGAGCCGAUGCAGGAGUUGAUGUCCAGACACAAGACCUACAGUCUGAGUCCCAGAGACUGUCUCAAGACCUGCCUCUUCCAGAAGUGGCAACGCAUGGUGGCCCCACCAGCUGAGCCAGCCAGACAAGCGCCCAACAAGCGGAGGAAAAGGAAGAUGUCUGGCGGAAGCAACAUGAGUGCUGGUGGAGGAAACAACAGCAAGAAGAAGAGUCCUGCAAACAACUUCCCUCUCUCCACACAGGUACCUGACGUGAUGAUGGUGGGCGAGCCCACACUGAUGGGAGGGGAGUUCGGAGACGAAGAUGAACGUCUGAUCACGCGGCUGGAGAACGGCCAGUUCGACACGGCCAACGGAGCGGGGGGCCUGGAGGAUGAGGACAGUUUUGGUAGCUCCCCUGCUCUGGGGGGCGCACACUCCCCCUGGAACAACAAGACGCCCAGCAGCCAGGACAGCAAGAAUGACGCACAGUAG
rnacentral:lncRNA from 13 species